UACGUAGGCAGCAAGCGUUGUUCGGAAUUACUGGGCGUAAAGAGUGUGUAGGCGGUGCUCUAAGUCUGUUGUGAAAUCUCCCGGCUUAACCGGGAGGGUGCGGCGGAAACUGGAGUGCUUGAGGGUGGGAGAGGUAAGCGGAAUUCCUGGUGUAGCGGUGAAAUGCGUAGAUAUCAGGAGGAACACCGAUUGCGAAGGCAGCUCGCUGGGACGUUACUGACGCUGAGACGCGAAAGCGUGGGGAGCAAACAGG
rnacentral:rRNA from 1 species